AACAAGAGGCUGCUCAUCAUCGUUGAGAGCUCCUUUUAGUCCUUCGUGUGAACACGGAAAAGCAACGGGCCAAAGCCACCAUGCAACUCAAUUUGAGCAAGGCUCUCUUCCUUUCCUAUCUGUUGACAGUCAGCCUCUCCUGCGAAGCCGCAUCAGGAGUGGCGCUCAACGCCACUGCCACUCCACUGGCGUGCAACAGUGGCGUCGGCGCAGCCAAGUGCCUCAUUGCUUACCAGCAACCGGAGCUGGAGGCGAUGGCGGAUCCGGGCAUGCUGGGCGCUAGCCUGAAAAGCAUCACGUUCCCCACUUCUGACGCAAAUAACCCUGCCGGCUGCGGCAGGGGCCCGGUUGUGCCAAAUAAUCCGUACUGCAGUCCGAAGAAAAACAAACAGCCUCGCUGCGACCAGUUUUACCGCGUUCCUGGUUGUGCCUAAUAAUCCGUACUGCAGUCCAGAGAAAAACAAACAGCCUCGCUGCUACCAGUUUUACCACAUUCCUUGCUGAUGUCUCCAUCGCCUUAGGACCCCUCAUUUUCCAAGAAAUUCGAUGAACCCGUUGCACGCAAUAAAGUUUCUUCUUCAAAAAGACAGCCGGCAAGCGCUGAUCGAACUUGGGAGGUACAGAUCUUCCGAGUUAGAGAAGGGAAUCAAUUGCGAUUGCAAAUCCUUGUCCAAGAGAGUAGUGAACGGAUUGUACAUAGUGUACGUUAAAUGUGUAUCGGUUGAUAAUAUAUGGUAACAAGCACUUCUGUUGUUUUCAUCCGUGUUAAAUAGAGAAUGAAGGGGCUUCCAUCUUCCAGGAUGAAUGGUUUUCUAAGGUCGUAGCAGGAGUCUCUGGUCGGAAGAGCAGCCGACAGAUCAUGCACUACCUUUCGCGGCAAAACCAGAGACCAUGGCGUGACAUGUUUCACUGGAACUACUCACUAUUGAUUGUACGCUCCAAAUUGCAUCAAGUAAUGCCACUUCUACUCCAACUUGGUGUUCUCAUAUCAUCAUCAUUGAAGAAUAAUUGUGGCCCACAUGAUAGUAGUUAUCAAUGAUUUAAUAGAUACUUAAGUGCUAAAGCAAUAAAAAGUCGCAACUCUCGUGAAGAUGAAAAGGAGCAAAAACUAUGAGAAAUUGCAAUUUCUAUGAAGAGAUGUAACUCUUAUGAAAAGGUGGACUGUUUUGAAAAUAGAAUAUACUUUGAUGGAAGAUAAUUGAUAACUUGUAUAAAUAAAGUAUGAUCCUCUAUCCACCCAAGACAAUGAAAGGUGUAUUCUAUCAUAAUACGUUACUACAAAAGUGAGUUAACAGAGAAAUCAUAUUUUUCCAUUUGCUUUUAUUUCUUCAACGAUCAUUCUUUUCAAGGUUAUCAUUAGGGACAAAGGUACAUCUUCAUCCCUUUUAUUGUGAAUAAAUUAUGAAGAUCUAAGAUUCUUUGAUAUUGAAUUUCCACGUAAAGAGUCAUAUUAUUGUUUGCAUAUCAUUUGUAAGUGAGAUCUUGCGCGUAGAUUUAUACAACGGCCUUACAACCGGAGAUUUAUCCUCAAACUAUAUCAACUGGUAUUUUCUAUUCCCCGUACCGAUCACGAACGCUUGAGCAACGACCGUUCUUCACAUCGCUGACAUAGCCAGAAGGCCAUCUUGAUUUUUUCAACCGACAGACACAAAGUUCAGCUACAUCAAAUACGACGUUUCAACAUCUAAUCCUCCAAUGGUCGCUACUUAUAUCAGCCUUGAUAUCUGCAGUUACUGGAAUCCUUCUAUUGUAAAUCAUGCUUUCAGAUUUUAACACAGAAGGAUGUCCCAGCAGUCCUUUGCUGAUGUGGGGAGCACAAGGGACAAAAUUAGUUCACAGCAUUUUACCAGUCGCAUGAGGAGAGGAAUCUGUCCGGAGGAAUACCGAGCCCAUCCAAGUUCAGACCCGAAGGACGAAAGGAACGAAUUUGAGAGAGCAAUUACCUUCUUGGACACCCCAUGCGCACCCAAAUUCUAUCCACUUUAUAUGUAAUGAUGACUUCAAUCUUUUCAAUCUUGUUGGGCCCAAGUAAUGAAUUAUUUCGAUUAAUCUAACUUUAGGCACGACCCGUGAACCUUUUUGAA
rnacentral:lncRNA from 1 species